rnacentral:rRNA from 1 species
UACGUAGGGUGCAAGCGUUAUCCGGAAUUAUUGGGCGUAAAGAGCUCGUAGGCGGUUUGUCACGUCUGCUGUGAAAACUGGAGGCUCAACCUCCAGCCUGCAGUGGGUACGGGCAGACUAGAGUGCGGGUAGGGGAGAUUGGAAUUCCUGGUGUAGCGGUGGAAUGCGCAGAUAUCAGGAGGAACACCGAUGGCGGAAGGCAGAUCUCUGGGCCGUAACUGACGCUGAGGAGCGAAAGCAUGGGGAGCGAACAGG